UGAAAAAAUAAAUUUAAAGAAAUAUAUUUCAUAAAUUAUUAAUAGCAAUUAUUUACCUCCAUACUUUUAUUCAACCCCUUUUGGGCCUGGAAGAACCGGUCCGGCGGAUGAGAUUUACGGACCCUCCUACGCUUAGUUGAGGAGGAUGCCGCUGCCAUAGUCCCUAUGCAGGAUGGUCUUGUGGAGGUUGCCGCCAUGGUCCCUGUGCAAGUUGCUACCAUGGUCUCUAGCAGGUUGUCGUCAUGGUCUAUGUGCAGGUUGCCUCCAGUCCCUGUGCAGGUUGCCGCCAUGGUCCCUGUGCAGGCUGCCUGAGCCACAAGCUAAAAACACAGUUACGUUUUAUUAGCACAACAGAAUAGGAAGGGAGUUUUCCAAUUUCAUGUGUAAAUAUUUUUUCACAUAAAUAGUUUAUGUUCUUUUUUAAAGUCUAUCUGUUCUAUACUAAAUAUAUAAAUAAAAAGAUUCUUCAAAUUUGAUUAAUGGGUGUCACAUAGUUACUUUCACUUUUAUUAUAUUACUUAGUAGGAAGUAUGGAUUACAGUAUACUCACUCCAAUAGGGGAUUCUAAAAAAUUUUCGCUGCUGCCGAUAACACUUUGGGCUCUGUUUCAGUAGAGAUAAUGAUAACAUAAACUGCCUAUAUACGUCCCACUGCUGGGCACAGGCCUCCCCUCAAUCAACCGGAGGGGGUAUGGAGCAUACUCCACCACGCUGCUCCACUGCGGGUUGGUGGAGGUGUUUUUACGGCUAAUAGCCGGGACCAACGGCUUAACGUGCCGUCCGAAGCACGGAAUCAUCUUACUUUUUCGGACAAUCAGGUGAUUCAAGCCUGAAAAGUCCUUACCAAACAAAGGACUGUCUCACAAAGUGAUUUCGACAAUGUCCCCAUCGGGAAUCGAACCCGGACCUCCAGAUCGUGAGCCUAACGCUCUAACCACUAGACCACGGAGGCUGUUUCGAUGUUAUUACAUACUAAUGUAGACUAAGAAGUAAGUCUUUUAUUAUAAUAUAUAAUCUUAGCUUAGUCAUAUGCCUAAACAACUAGGUUUUAUCCUCAGAGGGAUGUGUAAAGUGUCAGGACGGCAGGUCCUUGCCAAAAAGGCAUAGAGUAAUUGUUGAGGACAAAUACUCCAUGUAUUAGUAGAAUAUCAAUGUGAGAAAGCGUUACAAUACAUGAUAAGUUAAAUUCGUCAUGGAAGAGGGACAUCUAGAUUGAAUCCUGAGAUUGUAUCGCUAAGCUGGAACUACAUAGUUGACCGCAGAAGAAGUAUCCCUAACGAUAAACACAGACGGUAGUCAUGACUUGGGAACUAGACCCUGAAUGUAGACCUUGAAGUUAGACUUUGCAGUUGAACAUUCAAGUUGGAUUUUGAAGUUGGACUUUGAACCCACAUCUCGUGGGACGAUAUUAUAACAGCAUGUUUCCUAGUCGAUGGACUAAGCCAUUGGUUCUAUACAGAAGAUCUCACCACCCUUCCAUCAUCAUAUAUGUGGCUUAUACACCACUUUAAAAAAUAAUCGCGACGGGACUUUAUAUUGCCAUCGUCAUUUUUGUUUUGGUUUUCCACGAAGGGUAAGGCAAAGGGAACUAUGCCCAUACAGCCAUGUCUUACGUAUUUUUUUCUUGAUGAUUGAUGAAAUGAUGAAAGAUGAUGAUGAUGAAACCUAAGCCCCCACCCUCGGAGUAGACUCCUACUCCGAACCCCAGACGAAUUAACUCAAAAGUCCGCAUAAACUUUUGAGUUAUGAAGCGGCUUCCUGGCACGAAGCGAAAAUAGGCAGAUACACUUUGUUUAUUGAAUACUCCGAUAUAAUAACACUCGCGAAUGUCUUCCGACUAAGUUAAUGCGAUCAUUAACCACAAAACACCACUUCGUAUUAAUUAUUUAGAUUAUUCAAUGAAGAAAGCAACUGUCCCGUUCCCGUUUCCCGCCAAAAAGCCUUGCCAUCGUCAUUGCGUAAAUGAAAUGUCAAUCCGACAUAACUUUUUCCCGGCGUGCAGGCACUCACUCGUAUGCCAUACAGCCAAGUGGGAAGUGUCCAAAAAAAAACGUGUUACAACGUAACUAUUCAAAAACAUCUCUCACCUUAAACGCAUAUACCUGCUCCGUUCCGUCGUGGGUAAAAAAUAUAAUGUAAUGGCAGAAGCAUAUAUAAUAAUAAUUGUUUCUUGGUAUUUGGAUUAGAUAUGGUAUAGAAUUAUGUUGCUACCUACCUAUUGUUACUCUUUAUUCUGAUCAGAAUUAUAAUGGGUGGAAGAAGUGUUGUGCCUGGGUGUAAUAAUAAGGGUCAUCAUUUAUACCCAAAAACAAAGAUAAAAGAUACACAUGUCUGUUAUCCAUGAAAUUAGAAGGACGAAGGCAACUCUGUACAGCGCCAUCUAUAUUUAUUUAAGGGAACGUAGCCUGGAAAUUCCUCAUUGCUAUCAGAUAAAGGAACCGGACUUUUCCCAAAUAAAUGUUGCAAAUUGUUUCCUACCUUUUGAAUAAGAGCUUGUUGAUGGUUGAAUAGACGCAGGUGGUUCUGUUUGCAUGUUAACUGCAUGUUGGGACAGAAUAUGAAAUAACAUGGAAUGCUGUUGUUAAAUGUCACUUCUUCAUAAUAAAAUUAGUAAUUGUUAGUAAUUUUUAACAUAUAUUUAAUAUUUAAGAACGCAGUUUGUGACUUCUUUAUUUGGAUUUUGACAAUACAAAGAGAGAACAUGA